CAAGGUCAGGAGUUUGAGAGCAGCCUGGCCAACAUGGUAAAACCCCAUCUCUACUAAAAAUACAAAAAAAUUAGCUGGGCAUGGUGGCAGGCACGUGUAAUCCCAGCUACUUGGGAGGCUAAGGCAGGAGAAUCUCUUGAACCCAGGAGGUGGAGGUUGCAAUAAGCUAAGAUCGCACCACUGCAUUCCAGCCCAGGUGACAGUGCGAGACUCCGUCUCAAAAAAAAAAAAAAAUUACAUUAGAGUCCCAUCAUGGGGGUCCCACACGAAUGACCUCAUCUAAUCCCAAUUACCUCUCAAAGGCCCCACCUCCAACCAACAGAUGAAUUUGGCACUUAAGUUUCCAAUACAAGACAUUUGGAGGCUAUAACAAAGUACCACAGACUGGAUGGCUUGAACAACAGAAUUUGUUUUCUGACAAUUCUUGAGGCUAGGUAUCAACGUGUUGGCAGGUUUGGUAUGCAAUUUGUCCUAGCACCAUUUUUGGGGGGGUGAGUGUUUAAUUUUAAUAACUUGCAUUAUAUUAUAAAUCUCAUAUAUUCCUUAGGUUUUUUACUUAACAGUAACUUUUUUUAAAAAAAAAAACAGCAUUUUAGAUUCACGGAGUAUAUAUACAGGUUUGCUCAUGGGUGUAUUGCAUAAUGCAUGCUGGAACCUAUCACCCAAAUAGUGAACAUAGUACCCAAUAGGUAGUUUUUCAGCUCUUCCUCUUCUUCCUGCUUUCCCCUUUAUGGAGUCCCCAAAUAGACAUUAUUUUCAUCUUUAUGUCCAUGUGAACUCAUUGUUUUUUUCCCAUGUAUAAGUGAGAGCAUGUGGUUUUUGAUUUUCUGUUUCUGCACUACUUCACUUACGAUAAUGGCCUCCAGUUGCAUCCAUGUUGACGCAAAGGACAUGAUUUCAUUCUCUUUUAUGGCUGUGAAGUAUUCCAUGGUGUAUAUGUACCACAUUUUCUUUUUCUUUUUCUUUUUUUUCUUUAGAGAUGGGGUCUCGCUCUGUCACCCAGAUGGGAGUGCAGUGUCGCAAUAUUGGUUCACUGCAACCUCCGCCUCCUAGGUUCAAGCGAUUAUCCUGCCUCAGUGUGAGAAAACAUUUGAAAUGGUCCAUCUUCAAGGCAUGAUAGAAAUCUAAGUACUAGCAGCCAGCCUGCGGAUGUGACCAAUCAUAUGGCUCAGGCACCUAGAAAGUCAGGAUACGCGAACAGGAGGAAGAGUCAGCCCAUAAAAGGGAAGAAAGUUUCCUUAUUGGGGAAUCGAAACUUUAGCAGGGAAGGGGAAUGGGGUAUGACCUUAUAAGGGGAUAGUGAAACUUAGGCGACAUCUGGGAAGAUUAUAACCCCAUAAUACUCGACCAAUGAGGAACUUGGGGAGGGACUUGUGUGCUAGGAGAGAAAUUACCUGCUGUGACUGCCCCAGGUGUGCCUGCCUAGCAGAAACCCCAUCUUGCAAGACCACCAUUAAAAGUCUCGUUUUCCUGGCACAAGACAGGGAUGCCCUCUCUCACCACUCCUAUUCAACAUAGUGUUGGAAGUUCUGGCCAGGGCAAUUAGGCAGGAGAAGGAAAUAAAGGGUAUUCAAUUAGGAAAAGAGGAAGUCAAACUGUCCCUGUUUGCAGACGACAUGACUGUAUAUCUAGAAAACCCCAUUGUCUCAGCCCAAAAUCUCCUUAAGCUGAUAAGCAACUUCAGCAAAGUCUCAGCUCUGAUGAUUAAUGAUGUUGAGCACCUUUCAAUAUACCUGCUGAUCAUUGUUAUAUCUUCUUUGGAGAAAGACACAGGUCUUUUGCUCAUUUUUAAAUUGAGUUAUUUGCUUUUCCACUAUUGAGUUGUAUAGGUUCUUUAUAAAUGUUGAAUAUUAACCCCUUACCAGGUAUAUGUUUGCAAAUAUUUUUUCCCAAACCAUAGGCUUCUAUUUC
rnacentral:lncRNA from 10 species